rnacentral:rRNA from 1 species
AAUUUGAUCUUGGUUCAGAUUGAACGCUGGCGGCAGGCCUAACACAUGCAAGUCGAACGGUAACAGGAAGCAGCUUGCUGCUUUGCUGACGAGUGGCGGACGGGUGAGUAAUGUCUGGGAAACUGCCCGAUGGGAGGGGGAUAACUACUGGAAACGGUAGCUAAUACCGCAUAAUGUCGCAAGACCAAAGGAGGGGGACCGUUCGGGCCUCUUGCCAUCGGAUGUGCCCAGAUGGGAUUAGCUAGUUGGUGAGGUAACGGCUCACCAAGGCGACGAUCCCUAGCUGGUCUGAGAGGAUGACCAGCCACACUGGAACUGAGACACGGUCCAGACUCCUACGGGAGGCAGCAGUGGGGAAUAUUGCACAAUGGGCGCAAGCCUGAUGCAGCCAAUGCCGCGUGUAUGAAGAAGGCCGUUCGGGUUGUAAAGUACUUCAGCGGGAGGAGGGUUAAGGUUAAUAACCUUAGCCAUUGACGUUACCCGCAGAAGAAGCACCGGCUAACUCCGUGCCAGCCGCCGC